AUAUAUAUAUAUAUACUAGGGGUGGAGCUCCGCGCAAGGCGCGGAGCUGGUGCCCGAUCGAUUAAACCAUACAACAAUAAAAUCAUUACAUUGCAGAUAAAACAAAGAGAAAAAUGGAAAAACAACAACAAGCAACGGUGAAGAUCUUAUUCCUUUAUAGUCCAUAGAAACAAAUUUAGAGAAACUACAGAUUCAGCAUGAGCCUCAAGAAAUGUAGUCUGCAGAUAAGAAAUUGUUAUUUUGUACCGCUCUUCUUCAAAUCUUACAAAACGCAACUAUAUAUGCAAACUCUUUUCCAGAUAACACAAAAUAUUUCUAAAUAUUAUGUUUAGAGGAAUGUAUUAAAGCUUACAGUUUCUAGCAACGAUGAUGUAACACCUCCCUUGAUAGCAACUCAAAAUAUAUAUAUUGAUAAAAAGGAAAUUACAGAUAACAGAGAUUGAAUCGGGAAGCUUAAACACGUGAAAAACUUCGAGAAUCAAGUCCAAACAUUCAGCUCAAAACCUAAGAAACUUAACCUAAAAAUCAGCUAGUUUCCCUCAGCUCAACUUUCCCUAUUUAUACCCAAUCUAUAACUAGAAAGUGCUACUUAAGAUUAAAAACGUGAAAACGCUUCAUCAGCCAACAACUCUUCCUUCUCUUCCUCUAUUCUUCGGCCACGUGUCUUGAUGAGAGCCGCUACUAAUAAAAACGUGAUAAGCUUGAAAACGCUAAACAGAAAUGCGUUUUAAACUGCGUCUUAGUAAUAUAGGUGUGGUAAAUAUAAUAUUAAAUAAUCUGCAUGUCUUCUUCCCUCUUCGUCUAUUUUCCUUGCAUGUCUUCUUCUUCCUCUCUUACUAUAAUUAUGUCUUCUGGAAUGAGCUCGUAACAAUGCCUUCCCCUAAAAUGUCCUUGUCCUCAAGGACAGAAGGUGGGAAAGCGUCGUUGGAUGUCCUCGCAAUCCUCCCACGUCGAAUCUUCGUCUGGAGCGUUGAACCAUUUGAUCAGCCAUUGCGUUACUGCCCGAUUGCCCUUCUUCACUAACCUGCGAUCAACAACAGAAUGUGGUUCGAGUAAUAUGUGCCCGUCUGCAGUGAUUGUAGUAGGUAAGUGUUUUUGGCUGAUUAAAGGCCCUAUUUUCUUCUUAAGUUGAGAGACAUGAAAUGUUGGGUGGAUCUUGGAAUUCUGUGGCAGUUCUAGUGUAUAAGCCACCUCCCCAAUUCUCUGUAGUAUCUUAUAAGGUCCAAAAAAACGAGAUGAUAGCUUGUUAUACGUUUGAGUUCGAGCAGAUUGCUGCCUAUAAGGCUGCAACUUCACAAACACCCAGUCAUCAACUUGAAAAGUCCUCUCACUUCUCCUUUUAUCUGCCUGCAUUUUCAUUCUGUUUUGUGCCCUCAAUAACUGCUCUCUUAUCACUCGGAUCGUGGCUUCCCUAUGCUGCAAGCUUCUGCCCACCAUUUUAUUAGAGGCUGCCAUGGGAAUAUAGGGUAAAUGAAGAGGAUCCUUCUGACCAUACAUCACUUCAUAAGGGGUAGUUUGCAAGGAUGAAUGAAAGGUGGUGUUGUACCACCACUCUGCUAAAGGCAGCCAUUGUGCCCAGUCCUUAGGUCUCUCUCCACUCAUGCACCUUAAGUAACCUUCCAAGCACUUGUUCACUAUCUUAGAUUGACCAUCAGUCUGAGGGUGAUAGGCAGUUGAAGUGUGAAGUUGUGCUCCUUGAAGCUUGAAGAAUUCCUGCCAAAAUUUGCUCAUGAAAAUAGGGUCUCUAUCACUGACUAUAGUCUUAGGCAUUCCAUGUAGUUUGUACACAUUCUCCAUGAAGAGUUGUGCCACUGAGCUGGCUGUGUAUGGGUGCUUUAAGCUCAUGAAAUGUGCAGCUUUACUUAAUCUGUCCACCACCACCAAAAUGGUGUCUUUUCCCCCAGAAGUUGGUAAGCCACCAAUGAAAUCCAUGGAGAUGUCUUCCCAUAUCUUUUCAGGAAUAGGAAGAGGCUGCAGCAGUCCUGGUGUUGCUACAGUUUCUCCUUUGUUCCUUUGACAAACAUCACAUUGUUGCACAAAAGUGUGCACAUCUUUCUUGAGCCCCUUCCAAUAAAAGGUCUGUUUGAUCCUUUGUAAAGUGCUGUGGAUGCCAGAAUGCCCCCCUACUGCAGCACCAUGAAAGUGGUUCAAAAUUUUUUGUCUGAGUUCCACCACUUCUCCUACCACCAAUUUCCCUUUUCUCAACAACACUUCUGCAUUCCAAGAAUAAGAUGGCCUGUUGCCUCUGCCUUCUUUCAAAUCAUCAAUAAUCUGCUUGAGUCUUAGGUCAGAAGUGUAAGCUCUUCUUAUCUCUUCCAUAAAUGAGCAUUGAGGAAUUGAGAGUGUGAAGCAACUAGCUUCUGGAACAAUGACUCUAGACAGUCCAUCUGCCACUACAUUAUCCUUCCCUCUCUUGUAUGAUACUGAAAAAUCAUACCCUAACAACUUCACUAACCACUUUUGUUGAGCUGGAGUGGCUACUCUUUGAUCCAUUAGGUACUUCAGACUUUGGUGAUCAGUUUUUAUAGUGAAAUGAUUUCCAAUCAAAUAAGGUCUCCAUUUCUGAACAGCAGUCACUAAUGCAAGGAGUUAUUUUUCAUAAGUAGAUAGAGCUCCUUGGGUCAUGUUUAGAGCCUUGCUCAUGUAGGCAAUUGGUCUGCCUUGUUGCAUUAACACUGCUCCCAUACCAGUUCCAGAUGCAUCAGUUUCAAUGGUGAAUUCCUUAGAAAAAUCAGGAAGUGCUAAGACUGGAGUUUCAGUUAUGGCUUUCUUGAGAUCAUUAAAUGCCUGUUGAGCCUCCUUACUCCAUUUAAAGCAGUCCUUUCUCAAUAACUGAGUUAAAGGUUGGGCUAUCUUGCCAUAAUCUUUAACAAAUCUUCUAUAGUUACCAGUCAACCCCAAGAAUCCCCUCAGGUGUUUAAUUGUUUUGGGGGUGGGCCAGUCAGUCAUGGCCUGAGUUUUGGUGGGGUCAGCUGCCACACCCUCUGGUGUAAUUACAUGUCCUAAAUACUCAAUGGAAGAACUUCCAAAAGAGCAUUUAUUCAUCUUAAUAAACAGUUGGUGUAGUCUUAAAAGCUCUAGAACUGUCCUCAACUGCUCUAGAUGGGAGUUCCAACUCUCGUUAUAGACUAAAAUGUCAUCAAAAAAGACCAAAACAAACUUCCUCAGUUGUUCUUGGAACACCUGAUUCAUGAGGCUUUGAAAGGUGGAAGGUGCAUUAGUUAGGCCAAAUGGCAUCACUAGAAAUUCAUAGUGCCCAUGGUGAGUUCUAAAAGCUGUUUUCAUAAUGUCUUCCUCAUGCAUUCUGAUUUGGUGAUAACCAGAUCUCAAAUCCAGCUUAGAGAAAACCCUUGCCCCAUGCAAUUCAUCUAAUAGUUCCUCAAUCACUGGAAUAGGGAAUUUAUCCUUAACUGUGUUUUUGUUCAGUUCUCUAUAGUCCACACACAUCCUCCAAGAGUUGUCCUUCUUUUUCACCAACACCACUGGUGAAGAGAAGGGGCUACUACUAGUUCUAAUCACCCCUGCAUUCAGCAGCUCUUGCACUAUAGCCUCAAUUUCAUUCUUUUGCACAGUUGGAUAUCUAUAUGGUCUAACAUUGACAGCCUCUGACCCUUCCUUGAGGUGUAUCUUAUGAUCAUGGUCUCUAUGAGGUGGUAGGCCCUUAGGUUCCACAAAUAAGUCUGCAUAAUCACUAAGCAGCACUUGCAAGCCUUCUCUGCCUACACACUCCAUAGCAUUCAGACUAGCAAUGCAUUCUGGUACUCCUUCUAAUUGAUCACUGUUAGCAGGUGCUGGUUCCAUGGUCAGGGCAGUGCCAUCUUGCAGACUUCCAAUACACUGAUAAGCUAUUUGGGAAGGUUUUUGCAAAAUCUUGUUCAGUUUCUUGUUAGAGACUAGCUUGACUGAGUUAGGCUGGAGACCUCUCAGUACCACCUUCCUUCCCAUGUGGUUAAAUUCCAUCUUUAGUUGCAGAUAGUUGCUGCAAAUGUCCCCCAAUGUCACUAGCCAUUGAAUGCCUAACACUAGAUCACAGCUCCCUAAUGGUAGUGUCAUGACUUCAGCAGAAAACUCCACCCCAUGCAUUUUCCAAGUGAAGUUAGGACACUUGAACCUUGUAAUGAGCCUGCUUCCUCCAGGUACAUUCACAGAUGAUGGUUUCAUCUCCACCAAUUCACAACCUAGUGAUUUUGCAGUCUGCUCAUCCUCAAAAUUGUGGGUGCUCCCAUUGUCAAUUAAGAUGUGUAUAUUCUUUCCCUUGGCUGACCCUGUGAGUCUCAUGUUUCUGAAGUCAUGUGUGCCAGUCAUAGCAUGCAUGGAAACUUGAGAUAGCUGUUCCUCUCCAUCUUCUACCCUCUCUUCAGUCACUACACUUGGGUUGUACUCCAUUUCACUUUCAAUCAUAGACUCAUCCUCAGGUAUCUCCAUCACAUACAUCUGCCUAUUUUUGGGGCAGUUGUGGUCUCUGGAGUACUUUUCAUCACACCAGAAGCACAAGCCCUUAGCUCUUCUAUCAUCAACUUCUUGGUUACUCAGCCUUUUGGUUUGGUUGAAGGAUUGGUUCUGGUUUUUGGGAAAGGUUGGGCUAUUUCUGUUGGAUUGGGGGCUGGAAUAAUUAUUGUUUGUAUAGGUAUGGGUGUUUUGGCUAGGGUUUCUAUUGAUAUUUAGGUUGUUUGGCCUGUUGACAGUGUAUGAAGCUCUGAUAGGGUUUUGGGUAGGGUUGUAGGUAGGGUUAUGGUUUUGACUAGGGUGUUUCUUUGGAGAUAAGGUAAUGGUUUGUUCUUGCAGCUUAGCUAAGCUCACUACUUCCAUCAUGUUCUUGGGUUUGAACAUCCUGAUUUGCAAAGAGAUUUCAGGUUUCAAUCCCCCCAAAAAACAGCUCACUGCAUAAGGUUCUGAAAGGUCCACACAGUUCAUUAAUUCAUCAAAUCUGUCAAGGUAGUCUUGUAGGGAUCCAGUUUGCCUGAGGUUCAUAAGCUCAGACAUGGGAUCUUCGAAGAGCAGUGUGCCAAACCUGCUAUUCAGAGCCCUAAUAUACUCUUCCCAUCUUGGAAUCUCUCUUGUUAGACGUGCCUUCAUGAACGUUUGGUGCCACUGAAGGGCCCUCCCUUCCAAAUGCACUGCUGUUAGCUUCACCUUUGAGCUCGAUGGUGUGCCAUCCACAUCGAAGAAUUGGUCACAUUUGUACACCCAGCUGCGAAGGUUUGUGCCAUCAAACUUCGGAAAUUCCACCGAAGAACACUUAGUAGGCAGUUGAUACUCUGCCCCCCACUGAGGACCUUCCUGAUUCCCCAGAUCUGGAGGUCUGCCUCCAUUGUCAUGUGGAGCUGCUUGUUGUUGCAGCUUGGCCAUCAUCAAGGUCAUCAUAGCACGGUUCUCCUCCACGUUCUUAGCAUUAGCUUCAGAUAUGGCCUGCAUUUGUUCCCUCAUCAUGUCCAUAUCCUUCCUCAGCUCAGCAAAUCUAGUACCAUCAGCCAUGGUGCUUCACAGAAUCGAUGGCUCUGGAUACCAAUUGAUAGCAACUCAAAAUAUAUAUAUUGAUAAAAAGGAAAUUACAGAUAACAGAGAUUGAAUCGAGAAGCUUAAACACGUGAAAAACUUCGAGAAUCAAGUCCAAACAUUCAGCUCAAAACCUAAGAAACUUAACCUAAAAAUCAGCUAGUUUCCCUCAGCUCAACUUUCCCUAUUUAUACCCAAUCUAUAACUAGAAAGUGCUACUUAAGAUUAAAAACGUGAAAACGCUUCAUCAGCCAACAACUCUUCCUUCUCUUCCUCUAUUCUUCGGCCACGUGUCUUGAUGAGAGCCGCUAUUAAUAAAAACGUGAUAAGCUUGAAAACGCUAAACAUAAAUGCGUUUUAAACUGCGUCUUAGUAAUAUAGGUGUGGUAAAUAUAAUAUUAAAUAAUCUGCAUGUCUUCUUCCCUCUUCGUCUCUUUUCCUUGCAUGUCUUCUUCUUCCUCUCUUACUAUAAUUAUGUCUUCUGGAAUGAGCUCGUAACAUCCCUCCACCGAUUCUCAUAUUUGCCUGAACAGGGGCACCAAAGCCAAUGGACGAAUCAUGAGGUCUGAAAAGAAUUGAGGCAAAAUAUUUAAGUUCUCGUAUAGGAAAAUAAUAAAAUUCUGAGGAUAGAAAUUUACACCUCAAAUAGUCAAUGCUCCAUAAUCAGUUGCUACCAUCAUCGGCAAUCAU
rnacentral:lncRNA from 1 species